rnacentral:lncRNA from 1 species
CCCCCUGAGGGAGGCCAGGGAUCAAACUCGUGUCCUCAUGGAUGCGAGUCGGGUUCGUUAAGGCUGAGCCACGACCAGAACGCCGAUGCCCCAAAGCAUGUGGCCAGAUGCUGUCAGUUGCUUCUUGGAUCCUUGGCGCCUAAGACAGUGCCCCGAGGGGUUCUCACCUCUGGCUGUACAGUACCGCCACCUGCCUUGGAACUUCUGGUCAAUAGAACACCAGGCAUAAUCGCUGUGGACCCAGAUGCAGUUGUGGUGCAGUUGGUCCCCGUACUCAAACGGAAAGACGCAGGAAGAGUUAAAAUACACUGGAACAGAGCAAACAGGUGCCGCGGGAGGCACGCUUACCAAGGGAACCAACUUGCUAAUGUCUAUCUCGGUCAUUGGCACCAGCCGCCCCCACACCCCCACGUGGCUGGUCUCGAACUGUCUUCUCAGGGGUGUGGCACAAAACAGAAGCAAAUAUCCAACAAAGGAGCCUCUUCCGGAGUUCCUGUCGUGGCUCAGUGGUUAAUGAAUCCAACCAAGUAUCAUGAGGUUCGUUACCACUGAGCCAUGACGGGAGCUCCAGGCCGGGCGUUUUAGGCCGGAAGAAGAGUGUGGAGUAAAACGGAAGGUAAGUGCAAGGACCUUCCAGGAACCUGACGUCGUUUCAUGGGGGGUGGGGGUUGCUCAGGUUUGAGAGGCUAACAAAUAAAAAGAUGUCUUACCUGGACGUGGAGGAGGAAAAUGGACAAUCAAGUCUGAAAGGGGGGGAAAAAAAAGGUAAAAUUGAGAUCACCCCUUAAAAUAGUCCAUUCCUAGACGAAUGGCUGUUAUCAGCAUCCUGAAGUCCAUGCAGUCAACUGGUCUCCUCUUGCAAUCAAAAGAUCACCUUUUGGAAUAUUUAGGAAUCCCUCUAAUUGGGAGGGGGGUUUGGAACCACCCAAGACAGCCCAUUAAUUCAGGUCUGAGCUCUGACAAGUCCCAGAGUCUCCCCUUGAGUAACUUGAAGGAAAUCCGCCCUGUCUGAGGUCACUCAAAUUUUACCCAGGGGUUGAAAUUCCCCCAAGUCCAAAGGUUGGAGGAAACAUUCCCGCUUCUGCCCACACGCCGGCAUUUCAGGAAAACAACUUGUUUGCUCAGUGCCAGAGAGCGAUCUUUUCCAGCAGCCUUGGCGUAGGUUGCAGCUAUGGCUUAGAUUUGAUCCUUGGCCCAGGAGCUUCCAUAUGCUGCAGGUGUGGCUGAAAAAAAAAA